UACGUAGGUGGCAAGCGUUAUCCGGAAUUAUUGGGCGUAAAGGGUGCGUAGGCGGUUUAUUAAGUCUAUGGUGAAAGUGCGGGGCUCAACCCCGUAUGGCCAUAGAAACUGAUAGACUUGAGUACAGGAGAGGGCAAUGGAAUUCCAUGUGUAGCGGUAAAAUGCGUAGAUAUAUGGAGGAACACCAGUGGCGAAGGCGGUUGCCUGGCCUGUAACUGACGCUGAAGCACGAAAGCGUGGGGAGCAAAUAGGAUUAGAUACCCUAGUAGUCCACGCCGUAAACGAUGAAUACUAAGUGUUGGAGAAAUUCAGUGCUGCAGUUAACGCAAUAAGUAUUCCGCCUGGGGAGUAUGCACGCAAGUGUGAAACUCAAAGGAAUUGACGGGACCCCGCACAAGCGGUGGAUUAUGUUGUUUAAUUCGACGCAACGCGAAGAACCUUACCAGGCCUUGACAUACUCAGCAAAACCCUAGAGAUAGGGUGGAGGUUAUCUGGGAUACAGGUGGUGCAUGGUUGUCGUCAGCUCGUGUCGUGAGAUGUUGGGUUAAGUCCCGCAACGAGCGCAACCCUUGUCUUUAGUUACCAUCAUUCAGUUGGGGACUCUAGAGAGACUGCCGGUGAUAAACCGGAGGAAGGUGGGGAUGACGUCAAAUCAUCAUGCCCCUUAUGGCCUGGGCUACAAACGUAAUACAAUGGCGUAUACAAAGGGGUGCGAAAGGGUGACCUGGAGCAAAACUCACAAAGUACGUCUCAGUUCUGAUUGGAGUCUGCAACUCGACUCCAUGAAGGCGGAAUCGCUAGUAAUCGCGGAUCAGCAUGCCGCGGUGAAUACGUUCUCGGGGUU
rnacentral:rRNA from 1 species